GAAAAGAAAGCAGAAUUUCCAAAACAACAUCAGCCAAAUUACCAAGGAUUUUCUUCAGAGAAAAGGUCAGAGUCAGCUGCUGAUCAGCAGGACUCAGCCAUCUCUCUUCUUUCAUGGAACGAAAAAGGCAAAUCAGAGGAACCACAGGUGGAUCAGCAGUCCCCUUAUCCUAAGAGCUUUGAUGACCAUUUACAGAAAAACUACACCCAGCUUUUCUAUGGUGUCCCAUCUCUACACCCCAAGUCCCUGAGCCCUAGUGUACCAGCUUCAGGUGAUUAUUCCUCAGCCUUUGUCUGCUUCAAUACAGCAUCCAAUGACUCCACAGCCCACAAAUCCCCAGUCCUUCUCUAUACUCCACCUGUGUUCCUGCCUGUGAGCCUACCUCAACCUUGCCCAAGACCUCUUCCCAACCUCAGCCCCAACAUCUCUCUCCUGAACAUGCCCAGACCCAGCUUCAGCCUCAAUCCCCACUCCCAAUUCUGUCACCUCCUAAAAACCAGUUUAGGAUCUGUGGAAUGCAUGAUCUUAGACACAAGAAUGAGGCACUAUCUCUGGUGCCAUCUGAAAUUCAGGACCUGGAAUACAAUGUGACACAAAAAUCACAGGAAAGUGUGUGGGGUUUACCCUCUGUGGUCCACAAAUCCCAGGAGGACUUUUGUCCUCCAGCUCCCAACAUUGUGUUGGUUAACCCAUCCUCCAAAGCUCAUAUUGCAAUCUCCAUCAUUCCUGGAAAUUAUCCCCUCUCAGAUGACCUUCAGAAGAAACUAGACCACCACCUUUGAAAGAGGCAUAUCCAACACUUGUGGGGCCUGCCCCACAGAGUCUAUGCAUCC
rnacentral:lncRNA from 1 species